UGUAGGCUUCCUUCAGAUACUGGAAGGCUGCUAUGAGGUCUCCACGCAGCCUUCUCUUCUCCAGGCUGAACACUCCCAACUUUCUCAGACUAUCUUCAUACCAGAGGUGCU